rnacentral:rRNA from 1 species
GACGAACGCUGGCGGCGUGCUUAACACAUGCAAGUCGAGCGGUAAGGCUCCUUCGGGAGUACACGAGCGGCGAACGGGUGAGUAACACGUGAGUAACCUGCCCUUCUCAUCGGAAUAAGCGUUGGAAACGACGUCUAAUGCCGAAUACGACCUCGGAAGGCAUCUUCUGUGGUGGAAAGCUCCGGCGGAGAGGGAUGGACUCGCGGCCUAUCAGCUUGUUGGUGGGGUAAUGGCUCACCAAGGGGACGACGGGUAGCCGGCCUGAGAGGGUGACCGGCCACACUGGGGCUGAGACACGGCCCAGACUCCUACGGGAGGCAGCAGUGGGGAAUAUUGGACAAUGGGCGCAAGCCUGAUCCAGCAACGCCGCGUGAGGGAUGACGGCCUUCGGGUUGUAAACCUCUUUCAGCAGGGACGAAGCGAAAGUGACGGUACCUGCAGAAGAAGGACCGGCCAACUACGUGCCAGCAGCCGCCGUAAAAC